GAUGAACGCUGGCGGCGUGCCUAAUACAUGCAAGUCGAGCGAACAGACGAGGAGCUUGCUCCUCUGACGUUAGCGGCGGACGGGUGAGUAACACGUGGAUAACCUACCUAUAAGGCUGGGAUAACUUCGGGAAACCGGAGCUAAUACCGGAUAAUAUAUUGAACCGCAUGGUUCAAUAGUGAAAGACGGUUUUGCUGUCACUUAUAGAUGGAUCCGCGCCGCAUUUGCUAGUUGGUAAGGUAACGGCCUACCAAGGCAACGAUGCGUAGCCGACCUGAGAGGGGGAUCGGCCACACUGGAACUGAGACACGGUCCAGACUCCUACGGGAGGCAGCAGUAGGGAAUCUUCCGCAAUGGGCGAAAGCCUGACGGAGCAACGCCGAGUGAGUGAUGAAGGUCUUCGGAUCGUAAAACUCUGUUAUUAGGGAAGAACAAAUGUGUAAGUAACUAUGCACGUCUUGACGGUACCUAAUCAGAAAGCCACGGCUAACUACGUG
rnacentral:rRNA from 1 species